rnacentral:pre_miRNA from 17 species
AAUGCUUUGCUGAAGCUGGUCAAAUGGAACCAAAUCGGCUGCUCACUGGAUUUGGUCCCCUUCAACCAGCUGUAGCUGCGCAUUGAC